GCAGGCGUCGCCGGCGGCACCGGCCGGGCCGCCUAUGGUGCGGCCAAGGGCGGAGUGAUCAUGCUCAGCCGCGUUCUGGCCGUCGAGCUGGCC
rnacentral:tRNA from 1 species